rnacentral:snRNA from 1 species
AUUGCUUCUCAGCUUUUUGGCCAUGAGCAAGUGUAAUACCUGUUCUCAUCAGUUUAAGGUCCAUUUUGUCUGGUAAAUGUAUAGCACUCCCCACUGUUUUUGGUUUCCACUUGCAUGGGAUAUCUUUUUCCAUCCCUUCAUUUAAGACUGUGUCUGUCCUUAAAGCGGAGGUGAGUCUCU